CGUGGGUCUCACUUUCACACACACGUGGGUCUCACUUUCACACACACGUGGGUCUCACACACGUGGGUCUCACUUUCACACACACACGUGGGUCUUACACACACACACGUGUAUCUCACUUUCACACACGUGGGUCUCACUUUCACACACACGUGGGUCUCACUUUCACACACACGUGGGUCUCACACACGUGGGUCUCACUUUCACACACACGUGGGUCUCACUUUCACACACACGUGGGUCUCACACACACACACGUGGGUCUCACUUUCACACACACGUGGGUCUCACACACACGUGGGUCUCACACACACACACGUGGGUCUCACACACACACACGGGUCUCACUU
rnacentral:lncRNA from 1 species